rnacentral:rRNA from 1 species
GUGGGGAAUCUUGCACAAUGGGGGAAACCCUGAUGCAGCGACGCCGCGUGAGCGAUGAAGCCCUUCGGGGUGUAAAGCUCUUUCGGCAGGAACGAUAAUGACGGUACCUGCAGAAGAAGCUGCGGCUAACUACGUGCCAGCAGCCGCGGUAAUACGUAGGCAGCAAGCGUUGUUCGGAAUUACUGGGCGUAAAGAGUGUGUAGGCGGUUGUCUAAGUUUGGUGUGAAAUCUCCCGGCUCAACUGGGAGGGUGCGCCGAAAACUGGAUGGCUGGAGUAUGGGAGAGGAAAGCGGAAUUCCUGGUGUAGCGGUGAAAUGCGUAGAUAUCAGGAGGAACACCUGCGGUGUAGACGGCUUUCUGGACCAUCACUGACGCUGAGACACGAAAGCGUGGGUAGCAAACAGGAUUAGAAACCCGAGUAGUCC